ensembl:lincRNA
GGCCGCAAAAUUAUCAGGACUCCAUCAAGUUGGUUAUAAAAUUUAUUGAUCUCAUUUAGGAAUUAAGAGUAAAACUUGAAAAACCUGAAACAAAGUAGCCCCUCCCCACUACCCAAACGAAAUCUGAACACAUUAGCGCGAAGAAAUAUCAAACAGAUCACGGCAGAAAUCACCAACUCAACAUGACUGGACAGAAGCUGUCCCGCGGCCAGGGGCGGCGAGGCGGGAGACACACGCACACCUGGCUAUAAAUUAACAUUGGCUUUAGCUGCCGCGCUGCUUGGAGCGGUCAGCGCCCCAAAAAACCACGAGGAAAACAGACGCGACACGACUGGGGGCGUAGGCGUUGCAGUUCUCCAGCUGGCCUCACCCGAUACUAUGUUUCUCCCAUUCACUCCUUGGCUAACUGCAAACUAACAAGACAACAUUUUCAAAUGUAACAGAAUAACCCUGGAACUCAGGAGGAGGAGUGGGGGCUGUUUUUUCUUUGCAAAUAACACAGCGAUUCCCAGCCUACAAAGGUGAAAGAAGGAGCAGCGGCGUGGGGCAAGAGAGCUCUCUAGAAGUCCCAUUUUCGCUGCUCCUGACUUAUUUUUGCUUUUGUACAAAACCCGACAGCUACAGCAAAACUUUCAGUCCUCCCCAUCAUCGGUACAAGGCAACAGUCCCAGGAGAAGAUGCCGUCGUCUGUGGUGGGAUGGGGCAGGAAGAAAGCCUCUGGGAUUGGAAGAGUAGAGGGAUCAAAAAGUUACCUGGAACAGUCAACCAUCUCUAGCGACCUGCUCUGCAUCCUAGGGCUGUUGCAGGACCAGGUGGGAUCUGAAUUUAGAAAAUGCAUGUGCAGAGCCAGGUAGACAAAAGCCCCCUUUUCAGCUUCUGCUUCAAGAUGACCACGCUCCAUAUGGCUUCACCUGCUGCGCGGUGUCAUAAUUGCAAUCAGAAUGGAUCUCAUUAGGGUUACAAUGGCCCAGGAAAAUGAAGAGUGGUUACCAUAGCCCACUGCCUGGGCCUUCCAGCCGGGCAGUCCAAAAAGAAGCAGAG